rnacentral:ribozyme from 14 species
AAAAAAAGAAACUUUCGAGAAUAAGUGUGAUUAUACGUCUCAGUCCUCGUUGUUGUCUUUCUCUCUAUUCGUACUACUCUUUCUCUCUCCUCGUCGCUCUCCCUUUUCUUAAUUCUUUCUGUUUUUAAUGUAAUCGGCUAAG